UACGAAGGGGGCUAGCGUUGCUCGGAAUUACUGGGCGUAAAGGGCGCGUAGGCGGUUUGCACAGUCAGAUGUGAAAUUCCUGGGCUCAACCUGGGGGCUGCAUUUGAUACGUGUAGACUUGAGUGGGGAAGAGGGUCGUGGAAUUCCCAGUGUAGAGGUGAAAUUCGUAGAUAUUGGGAAGAACACCAGUGGCGAAGGCGGCGACCUGGUCCUUGACUGACGCUGAGGCGCGAAAGCGUGGGGAGCAAACAGG
rnacentral:rRNA from 1 species